GACGAACGCUGGCGGCGUGCUUAACACAUGCAAGUCGAACGGAAAGGCCCUGCUUUUGUGGGGUGCUCGAGUGGCGAACGGGUGAGUAACACGUGAGUAACCUGCCCUUGACUUUGGGAUAACUUCAGGAAACUGGGGCUAAUACCGGAUAGGAGCUCCUGCUGCAUGGUGGGGGUUGGAACGUUUCGGCGGUUGGGGAUGGACUCGCGGCUUAUCAGCUUGUUGGUGGGGUAGUGGCUUACCAAGGCUUUGACGGGUAGCCGGCCUGAGAGGGUGACCGGCCACAUUGGGACUGAGAUACGGCCCAGACUCCUACGGGAGGCAGCAGUGGGGAAUAUUGCACAAUGGGCGGAAGCCUGAUGCAGAAACGCCGCGUGCGGGAUGACGGCCUUCGGGUUGUAAACCGCUUUCGCCUGUGACGAAGCGUGAGUGACGGUAAUGGGUAAAGAAGCACCGGCUAACUACGUG
rnacentral:rRNA from 1 species